AAGCAGGACGGGAUCUGCAGAGACUUUGAUUCAUCUGCUGUCUGGACAUGGAGUGAUGUGGGUCUCCUCUAAUUAGACAGUGGGAUGCUGCAGGUCACUAGACUGACCCCCUGUGCUUUGUGAAGGGGAGGAGCUCACAGCGCCACCUGCUGCUCGUUGAGGACAAUGCACAAUGAGGGACGUCUGCAGAGACUGAGAAAGAGUCUCACCACAUCCUGACAUGAGGAAAAAGACUUUAUUGAAGACUAGAAUGAGAAAAACUAUCAGACAGCAGACGGCUGCAUUCAAGUCUGUAGCUGCUGAAUUCAUGGAUGAAUCAUCUGGCACUAGAGAGGAAGACCAUCAAACAUCCACGUCAGCUGAUUGAGGUCCAAGAGUCUCACCCAACAAACAACCUACAGAAUGAAGACCUCCAAUCUGAUUGGACGGCCUCCUAUUCAGCCACAUGUGUGAACAAAUGCCUCUAAGCUGAUUUGUUUUCUAAAAUAAAUCUAGUUUGAGUCCUAAUCUAUGCCUGUGUGUUUGCUUCUUUACACCGCUGUUAACAGUUUAGGCUGUUAGAUUGUUCCAGAUAAGACAAGUACAAGAUUCUUCAGAGCCGUUCUACCAGGAGCCUGACAGGAAGAACUCCAACAGCUACUG
ensembl:lncRNA